UGCAAAAACAAAAAGAAAGUAGAAUGAAUUUUCAAUCAACAAAUGCAUAUUGGUGGUGGCACUCUCAACUCAAAAAGUCGUGAGCCAAUCCGGUAUGUAUUAAAAUGAAAAUUUAUAAAGAUACAAAGCCUGUC
rfam:Dysgonomonas gadei ATCC BAA-286 genomic scaffold supercont1.12, whole genome shotgun sequence.